UACGUAGGGUGCAAGCGUUGUCCGGAAUUAUUGGGCGUAAAGAGCUCGUAGGCGGUCUGUCGCGUCGGAUGUGAAAAUCCAGGGCUUAACCCUGGACCUGCAUUCGAUACGGGCAGACUAGAGUUCGGUAGGGGAGACUGGAAUUCCUGGUGUAGCGGUGAAAUGCGCAGAUAUCAGGAGGAACACCGGUGGCGAAGGCGGGUCUCUGGGCCGAUACUGACGCUGAGGAGCGAGAGCGUGGGGAGCAAACAGG
rnacentral:rRNA from 1 species